AAUGAACGUUGGCGGCGUGGAUUAGGCGUGCAAGUCGAGCGUGUACCCCGCAAGGGGGAAAGCGGCGUAAGGGAGAGUAAUACGUAGAUACGUGCCUCCGGGUCUGGGAUAGCCACGGGAAACUGUGGGUAAUACCGGAUAAUGUCUGAGGACCAAAGGUGUGAUUCCACCUGGAGAUCGGUCUGCGUCCUAUCAUGCUUGUUGGUGAGGUAACGGCUCACCAAGGCUACGACGGGUACGGGGAGUGAGAGCUUGCCCCCGCUCACUGGGACUGGGACACUGCCCAGAAACCUACGGGUGGCUGCAGUCGAGGAUCUUCGGCAAUGGGCGCAAGCCUGACCGAGCGACGCCGCGUGCGGGAUGAAGGCCUUCGGGUUGUAAACCGCUGUCAGUGGGGAGGAAGGCUCCGUGAAGAACGGGGUUUGACCUAUCCGCAGAGGAAGUGUGGGCUAAGUUCGUGCCAGCCGCCGCAGUAA
rnacentral:rRNA from 1 species